GACUGGCCCAGAGGUAGUGAGUUAUGUCAACUGAUAGUUCACAAUCAGUUAUAGAUCAAACUCCUUGUUCUACUCUUCCCCCAUCUCACUAGUCUAGUGAGAUUUGACUAGUCUUUA
rnacentral:Y_RNA from 1 species